UUUUUAAUAAAUUUUGCUUGUGAUGAUGACCUUCUGUGCUCUGGAACUUCUGUUUUACAAAAAAUUGGAGUUCUUAUGGUCCUUGUCCUUACUCAGGUUGCUGCCUGUUGCCAGAAAGGACUGGCUGUGAAAUAUCUCGGACUUCUUUGUUCUUCAAGCUUCAUUCUCUCUUCUUGGUGAAGUCUCUUAAGGUGCUCAAAUUUGGCCUGUAACUGACCGGCUUGUUUUCUGGGCCCACAUCUGUAAAGCCCAUUUCCUCCAGUUUGCAGCGCCUGUAAAGCUCGGUCCUCCAUAUUUGUACAAAUGAACAUUUCCCGCAGCUUUACAAAGUCACAGUGGUUUUCAUUUUCCACCUGUACAACACCCCAAGGGUACUGGCGAGCUUUAACCAUCUUGUUUCCGACUUUUAUCUCAUCCAUACUUCCCACAACAGCAAACGGCAACUGUCCAUUCAUUGCAGCGUUGACCUUAGCAAUAGUGUCAUCAUCCGUUGGAAACUGGUAUAUCUGGACGCCAUUGCU
rnacentral:lncRNA from 1 species